UCGUCAAGCAUUAUCCGUACGGUUCCUGCGUCAUCGUCCCGCUGAGGGUUUUAAAUCGCUCCCUUAAACCCCGUCCAUGCAGUAACAGCAAAGGAAUAGCAAACUGGCUAUGAUCCGGUCACCAUCAAAAGCUGACUCAGAUCCAUCAAAAAUGAAGAACAAUAAUUGCAAUCACAAGAACCAAGCUGAGGAAGCCAAAGCACCCAGGAAAAGCCUGCACAACAUGGAGAGAACAUGGAAACUCCACAUGUGCAGACGAGGGGUUGCAUCCUCCGACGCUGGGGAUGUCAGACAUCACUGAUACCGCCUGAGCCACCGUGUUGCCCAGGUGAUGACAUUUGACGAAUAAAGUCUGCUGUUACCUUCAUGUUUUAAAAAUAAUUUGAUACUCUCCCACACCUGCCUGUUGGUUUAAUACAAGGACAUGGGAUCCUACUGUCCACCACGGAGACAGAGACAAGCUACUGCCGUUUCCUCAGUCCUGUGUGGAAAACGAUGUGAUGAUUUUCGAAGGAUAACUGACACCAGAGUUGAUGAUGGAGGGCAUUCAUUCCCCAUUCUGCUUAUGCGUGAGUAACGUGUGCUGCUUCCAGAGGAAGAUUGUAGUUGUAGUCGUAUAACCAGAGGAGAAUUCGAAACCUCCUUGAAGUGCUUGCAAUGAUAAAAGUUCAGCCCGCAGCUGUUUAGUUUAUUAUUUUUGGUUAGUAAUAGAGUAUGUAAAUGAGUCGGCUCUUUGCCCCUAAUGGUAAUGUAAUUUGCUGCAUGACAGAGUACCCUCACAAAGUCAAAGCUCUGCCCAGCUAGCGAGUCAGCUUGUCAGCAAGGAUGUGUUACUCUGCCUGCGUGAGUUUGCGUUCCCACGUCCGUUUGUUGAUAAGUGCGCACUCUGCUCUGUGACUUUGUGUACGAGGGCUCCUGUGGUUAGGCGCAUCUCUUUACAGAAGAACAGUGAAGUUAACGGGAUGACGGUCCACCUCUUGGAGACACGCUGUCUAUCCGCGGUGAUCAUGAGUCUGUCAGUGUGCCUUUCGGCCUGUUUGUGAAGCCGAGGGUGAACGGGAAGUCUUUUUGACAGCACAAUGGCUGGCUUUUUUCGAAAGGUUCUUCGCAAUACAGACUGGAGUUUAAUCCGUGCCUGUCCUCUAGAGAGUAAGUAAAGCCUGUGGUGGAAAUACUGCUACUGCAAAUGAAGAAGGAGAGCUUAUAGACAAAAUGUGUUUUAAAAAUGGUCUAUU